GGGACACGUGGUAUCCUGUCUGAAUAUGGGGGGACCAUCCUCCAAGGCUAAAUACUCCUGACUGACCGAUAGUGAACCAGUACCGUGAGGGAAAGGCGAAAAGAACCCCGGCGAGGGGAGUGAAAAAGAACCUGAAACCGUGUACGUACAAGCAGUGGGAGCCUCUUAAUGGGGUGACUGCGUACCUUUUGUAUAAUGGGUCAGCGACUUAUAUUCUGUAGCAAGGUUAACCGAAUAGGGGAGCCGAAGGGAAACCGAGUCUUAACUGGGCGUUAAGUUGCAGGGUAUAGACCCGAAACCCGGUGAUCUAGCCAUGGGCAGGUUGAAGGUUGGGUAACACUAACUGGAGGACCGAACCGACUAAUGUUGAAAAAUUAGCGGAUGACUUGUGGCUGGGGGUGAAAGGCCAAUCAAACCGGGAGAUAGCUGGUUCUCCCCGAAAGCUAUUUAGGUAGCGCCUCGUGAAUUCAUCUCCGGGGGUAGAGCACUGUUUCGGCAAGGGGGUCAUCCCGACUUACCAACCCGAUGCAAACUGCGAAUACCGGAGAAUGUUAUCACGGGAGACACACGGCGGGUGCUAACGUCCGUCGUGAAGAGGGAAACAACCCAGACCGCCAGCUAAGGUCCCAAAGUCAUGGUUAAGUGGGAAACGAUGUGGGAAGGCCCAGACAGCCAGGAUGUUGGCUUAGAAGCAGCCAUCAUUUAAAGAAAGCGUAAUAGCUCACUGGUCGAGUCGGCCUGCGCGGAAGAUGUAACGGGGCUAAACCAUGCACCGAAGCUGCGGCAGCGACGCUUAUGCGUUGUUGGGUAGGGGAGCGUUCUGUAAGCCUGUGAAGGUGUGCUGUGAGGCAUGCUGGAGGUAUCAGAAGUGCGAAUGCUGACAUAAGUAACGAUAAAGCGGGUGAAAA
rnacentral:rRNA from 1 species